rnacentral:misc_RNA from 1 species
UCCGGUUUGUCACCGGCAGUCUCCUUAGAGUUCCCGACAUUACUCGCUGGCAACUAAGGGCAAAGGUUUCGCUCGUUAUGGGACUUAACCCGACAUCUCACGACACGAGCUGACGACAGCCAUGCAGCACCUGUACUAGUUGUACCCCGAAGGGCCUACUCCACUUUCAUGGAGAUAAUCCUAGCGUUUCAAGCCCAGGUAAGGUUCUGCGCGUUGCUUCGAAUUGAACCACAUGCUCCACCGCUUGUGUGAGCCCCCGUCAAUUCCUUUGAGUUUUAGCCUUGCGACCGUACUUCCCAGGCGGUCCACUUAACAUUUUUACUUCGACCAUGAUCCCGUCAGAGAGACCAUAAUCUAGUGGACAUCGUUUAGGGCCAGGACUA